GGUUUACCCCCACAAUCGGUGGAGGGGGCUAUGGAGGUGCCUCCGACUGUUGAGCCAGAGCCUGAUUUUUGAUCGAAUUUUCAAUCGAUCGGCCUGUCAUGGCAUUGGAACGCCUUGAGAAUAUUCUUCACGGCAAUAUAAUGAUGGAUUGCGUACUCCCUCCCAAAAAUAGGGCUCAUCCCUCCUUUUAGUAUCAAUCUAUUGCCGUAGAUUUUUGACUCGGAUCAGAGUUACUGGAGUGAGGUAGCAU
rnacentral:lncRNA from 1 species